rnacentral:rRNA from 1 species
ACCCUUUGGAAGAGAUGUAUUUAUUAGAUAAAAAAUCAAUGUCUUCGGACUCUUUGAUGAUUCAUAAUAACUUUUCGAAUCGCAUGGCCUUGUGCUGGCGAUGGUUCAUUCAAAUUUCUGCCCUAUCAACUUUCGAUGGUAGGAUAGUGGCCUACCAUGGUUUCAACGGGUAACGGGAAUAAGGGUUCGAUUCCGGAGAGGAGCCUGAGAAACGGCUACCACAUCCAAGGAAGGCAGCAGGCGCGCAAAUUACCCAAUCCUAAUUCAGGGAGGUAGUGACAAUAAAUAACGAUACAGGGCCCAUUCGGGUCUUGUAAUUGGAAUAAUUACAAUGUAAAUACCUUAACGAGGAACAAUUGGAGGGCAAGUCUGGUGCCAGCAGCCGCGGUAAUUCCAGCUCAAUAGCGUAUAUUAAAGUUGUUGCAGUUAAAAAGCUCGUAGUUGAACUUUGGGCCCGGUUGGCCGGUCCGAUUUUUCGUGUACUGGAUUUCCAACGGGGCCUUUCCUUCUGGCUAACCUUGAGUCCUUGUGGCUCUUGGCGAACCAGGACUUUACUUUGAAAAAAUUAGAGUGUUCAAAGCAGGCGUAUUGCUCGAAUAUAUUAGCAUGGAAUAAUAGAAUAGGACGUUUGGUUCUAUUUUUUGUUGGUUUCUAGGACCAUCGUAAUGAUUAAUAAGGGACGGUCGGGGGCAUCAGUAUUCAAUUGUCAGAGGUGAAAUUCUUGGAUUUAUUGAAGACUAACUACUGCGAAAGCAUUUGCCAAGGACGUUUUCAUUAAUCAAGAACGAAAGUUAGGGGAUCGAAGAUGAUCAGAUACCGUCGUAGUCUUAACCAUAAACUAUGCCGACUAGGGAUCGGGUGGUGUUUUUAAUGACCCACUCGGCACCUUACGAGAAAUCAAAGUCUUUGGGUUCUGGGGAGUAUGGUCGCAAGGCUGAAACUUAAAGGAAUUGACGGAAGGGCACCACCAGGAGUGGAGCCUGCGGCAAUUUGACUCAACACGGGAAACUCACCAGGUCCAGACACAAUAAGGAUUGACAGAUUGAGAGCUCUUUCUUGAUUUUGUGGGUGGUGGUGCAUGGCCGUUCUUAGUUGGUGGAGUGAUUUGUCUGCUUAAUUGCGAUAACGAACGAGACCUUAACCUACUAAAUAGUGGUGCUAGCAUUUGCUGGUUAUCCACUUCUUAGAGGACUAUCGGUUUCAAGCCGAUGGAAGUUUGACGGAGGCCAGCAAGUCUAACCUUGGCCGAGAAGGUCUUGGUAAUCUUUGAAACUCCGUCGUGCUGGGGAUAGAGCAUUGUAAUUAUUGCUCUUCAACGAGGAAUUCUAGUAAGCGCAAGUCAUCAGCUUGCGUUGAUUACGUCCCUGCCCUUUGUACACACCGCCCGUCGCUAGUACCGAUUGAAUGGCUUAGUGAGGCCUCAGGAUCUGCUUAGAGAGGGGCAACUCCAUCUCCAGAGCGGAGGAAUUUGGACAAACUUGGUCAUUUAGAGGAACUAAAAGUCGUAACAAAGGUUUCCGUAAGGUGAACCUGCGGAAG